rnacentral:rRNA from 2 species
UAAACUACGAUUAGAUACCCUAUUAUUUUAAAUGUAAAUUGUUAAAGCUUGAGUAGUAUUAGAUAUGUUCUUGAAACUCAAAGAAUUUGGCGGUGUUUUAGUCCUUUUAGAGGAACCUGUCCCGUAAUCGAUAGUCCACGUUUUACCUUACUUAAUUUUGUUAUCAGCUUGUAUACCGCCGUCGUCAGAAUGUCCUUGAAGGGUUAUAAUUUUCUUAAUUUUUAAUUAAAAUUGAUGUCAGGUCAAGGUGCAGUUUAUGAUUAAGUGGAGAUGGGUUACAAUAAAUGUAUUUAUUACGGAAGAUGAAUGGAAAAGUUCAUUUGAAGGUGGAUUUAAUUGUAAUGAUUUAAAUAAAAAAAAUUUGAUUUUGGCUCUAAAACAUGCACACAUCGCCCGUCGCUCUUA